GAUGAAGAACGUAGCUAAAUGCGAUACGUAAUGUGAAUUGCAGAAUUCAGUGAAUCAUCGAAUCUUUGAACGCAUAUUGCGCUCUCUGGUAUUCCGGAGAGCAUGCUUGUUUGAGUAUCAGUAAACACCUCAACUUCCAUAUCUUUUUUGAAAUGGGAGUUGGACUUGAGUGAUCCCAACGCUUUUCCUCACCGAAAAGUGGCGGGUUACUUGAAAUGCAGGUGCAGCUGGACUUUUCUCUGAGCUAUAAGCAUAUCUAUUUAGUCUGCCUAAAAAACAGAUUAUUACCUUUGCUGCAGCUAACAUAAAGGAGAUUAGUUCUUGUGCUGACUGAUGCAGGAUUCACAAAAACGGCUUCGGCCGACUUUGUAAACUCGAUCUCAAAUCAAGUAAGACUACCCGCUGAACUUAAGCAUAUCAAUAAGCGGAGGA
rnacentral:misc_RNA from 1 species